rnacentral:sRNA from 1 species
AUUUAAAGAUCCAAAACCAAAAUUUCAUAGGGACUUUGGCUAUACCAUUAAAGCUUUGAGAAUCAAAAAAGAGCUUGGUUAGCGUUUUUGGAGUCAAAUAUGACUAGAUGUCGUGUGUAUGAUUGAGUAUAAGAACUAGAACUUCAACCGAAACAAAAGCU